UAGCCUAGUGGUUAAGGCAAUGGAUCGCCAAUCCGGAGACGGCGGGUUCGAUUCCCGU
rfam:Aedes albopictus isolate Foshan contig6534, whole genome shotgun sequence.